UUGGAGGGCAAAUCUGGUGCCAGCAGCCGCGGUAAUUCCAGCUCCAAUAGCGUAUAUUAAAGUUGUUGUGGUUAAAAAGCUCGUAGUUGAACCUUGGGCCUGGCUGGCCGGUCCGCCUCACCGCGUGUACUGGUCCGGCCGGGCCUUUCCCUCUGUGGAACCCCAUGCCCUUCACUGGGUGUGGCGGGGGAAACAGGACUUUUACUGUGAAAAAAUUAGAGUGCUCCAGGCAGGCCUAUGCUCGAAUACAUUAGCAUGGAAUAGUAGAAUAGGA
rnacentral:rRNA from 1 species